CUACCUUUUCCGUCCCCGGGGACGUAACUAGCCGAAAGGUUAGCUAAUACCAGAUACGCUCAUCGAGCGGCAUCGCUUGAUGAUGAAAGCAGCAAUGCGCGGAUUGAGGAGCCUGCGGCCCAUUAGCUAGUUGGUGAGGUAAUGGCCCACCAAGGCAACGAUGGGUAGCUGGUCUGAGAGGACGACCAGCCACACUGGGACUGAGACACGGCCCAG
rnacentral:rRNA from 1 species